GUACUCAGUUCGGAUUGUAGGCUGCAACCCGCCUGCAUGAAGUCGGAAUUGCUAGUAAUCGUAGAUCAGCAUGCUACGGUGAAUACGUUCCCGGGCCUUGUACACACCGCCCGUCAAACCAUGAGAGUUGGCAACACCCGAAGCCUGUAGCUUAACCGCAAGGACGGCGCAGUCGAAGGUGGGGUCGAUGAUUAGGGUUAAGUCGUAACAAGGUAUC
rnacentral:rRNA from 1 species